rnacentral:rRNA from 1 species
GCAAUAAGAUCAAAGCAAUAAACUCCAUCUCGCAGCAAAGUGAAGAAUAAGCCAUCUGGGUCCAAGCUCAACUAUCAAGCUACGAUGGAGAUGAAGAAGAUCGCCUUCGCCGCCCUCAUGGGCGCUGCCUCGGCCACCGCCGUUGUGGCCUCCGAAGCAGCACCAGCCAGCGACGCCAACACCGUGGCAGCCGCCCCCGCCGCAGCCCUCGCCGCGGUCUCCUUCAUCGCAUAUUUCCUCUACUGAUGGGGACAAGGCAGGAGGGAGAUCGAUAUUAGCAUCACCUCAGUUGCACCCGCGCAUGCAUCCAUGCGAACAAUGGGGUGUUGGCUUUUCCGCUAAUUUCAUUUCAUUUGUAACCCGAUUAUGUGAACUGGUGAUGAUACGAGUUAUUUGAAUAUAUAUAAUUUUCAUUCUGUC